UACAGAGGUCUCAAGCGUUGUUCGGAUUCAUUGGGCGUAAAGGGUGCGUAGGCGGCGCGGUAAGUCGGGUGUGAAAUCUCGGAGCUUAACUCCGAAACUGCAUUCGAUACUGCCGUGCUUGAGGACUGGAGAGGAGACUGGAAUUUACGGUGUAGCGGUGAAAUGCGUAGAUAUCGGGAGGAACACCGGUGGCGAAGGCGGCUCUCUGGACCACUACUGACGCUGAGGCGCGAAAGCUAGGGGAGCAAACAGGG
rnacentral:rRNA from 1 species